GAUCAGGGCUCAGGAUGAACGCUAGCGGCAGGCUUAACACAUGCAAGUCGAGGGGCAGCAUAAUGGAUAGCAAUAUCUAUGGUGGCGACCGGCGCACGGGUGCGUAACGCGUAUGCAACCUACCUUUAACAGGGGGGAUAACACUGAGAAAUUGGUACUAAUACCCCAUAAUAUCAUAGAAGGCAUCUUUUAUGGUUGAAAAUUCCGAUGGUUAGAGAUGGGCAUGCGUUGUAUUAGG
rnacentral:rRNA from 1 species